rnacentral:rRNA from 1 species
GGUGAACGCUGGCGGUAGGCCUAACACAUGCAAGUCGAACGGCAGCACAGUAAGAGCUUGCUCUUACGGGUGGCGAGUGGCGGACGGGUGAGGAAUACAUCGGAAUCUACUUUUUCGUGGGGGAUAACGUAGGGAAACUUACGCUAAUACCGCAUACGACCUACGGGUGAAAGCAGGGGAUCUUCGGACCUUGCGCGAUUGAAUGAGCCGAUGUCGGAUUAGCUAGUUGGCGGGGUAAAGGCCCACCAAGGCGACGAUCCGUAGCUGGUCUGAGAGGAUGAUCAGCCACACUGGAACUGAGACACGGUCCAGACUCCUACGGGAGGCAGCAGUGGGGAAUAUUGGACAAUGGGCGCAAGCCUGAUCCAGCCAUACCGCGUGGGUGAAGAAGGCCUUCGGGUUGUAAAGCACUUUUGUUGGGAAAGAAAAGCAGCAGGUUAAUACCCCGCUGUUCUGACGGUACCCAAAGAAUAAGCACCGGCUAACUUCGUG